GUGAGUCAUCAGAUUUUUGAACGCAACUGGCGCUAGAUGGAACUGCAGCUAGCAUGCUUGUUUCAGUGUCUUUUUAUUUCCUAACCGAAAUCAUAAUGCGAGAGAUACCCUUCUCUUGUUAAACAUGAAAGCACUCUGCGCUCUGCGAGCGACUUCGAUUCGUCUUGGGUCGCACUCAAUACAGCAGUCACAUUGUUUACAGUGUGAACUCAUUGAGAGUAGAGGCAGCGCGGCCUUACAGUCUUGCGAGUGCUUAGACACUCAAACUUUAUGGUUUGGUAUCGGGAAAAUCAAGCAGGGACCGACCCGCUGAACUU
rnacentral:rRNA from 1 species